rnacentral:rRNA from 1 species
AACGAACGCUGGCGGCAUGCCUAACACAUGCAAGUCGAACGAGACCUUCGUGUCUAGUGGCGCACGGGUGCGUAACGCGUGGGAACCUGCCCUUAGGUUCGGAAUAACUCCCCGAAAGGGGUGCUAAUACCGGAUAAUGUCUUCGGACCAAAGAUUUAUCGCUUUUGGAUGGGCCCGCGUUGGAUUAGCUAGUUGGUAGGUUAAAAGCCUACCAAGGCGACGAUCCAUAGCUGGUCUGACAGGAGGAUCAGCCAAGCUGGGACUGAGACACGGCCCAGAAUCCUACGGGAGGCAGCAGUGUGGAGUAUUAGACAGUGGAGGAAAGCCUGAUCAAGCAAAGCCGCGUGAGUGAUGAAAGGCUUGGGGUUGUAAAGCUGUUUUACCCGGGAUGAUAAUGACAGUACCGGGUAAAUAAGCUCCGGCUAACUCCGUG